rnacentral:rRNA from 1 species
CUCUUCUUGAUAUUUAUUUGAAGUAUAACCUGCCCACUGAUUAUUUUUGAAGGGCCGCGGUAUUUUGACCGUGCAAAGGUAGCAUAAUCAUUAGUCUUUUAAUUGGAGACUGGAAUGAAUGGUUGGACGAGGAAUAGACUGUUUCUUUGAAAUUUAUUUGAAGUUAAAUUUUAAGUAAAAAUGCUUAAAUUUUUUUAUGGGACGAGAAGACCCUAUAGAGUUUAAUAUGUUAUAUUAUUAUGAAUAUUAGUAAAGUAUAUAAUUUUGUUAAUAUAUUUUGUUGGGGUGAUGGGAAGAAUUAAUAAACUCUUUCUUAUAUUUAUAUAUUUAUGUAUAAAUUUUUGAUCCAUUUUUGUUGAUUAUAAGACUAAAUUACCUUAGGGAUAACAGCGUAA